GACGAACGCUGGCGGCGUGCCUAAUACAUGCAAGUUGAGCGCUGAAGGUUGGUACUUGUACCGACUGGAUGAGCAGCGAACGGGUGAGUAACGCGUGGGGAAUCUGCCUUUGAGCGGGGGACAACAUUUGGAAACGAAUGCUAAUACCGCAUAAAAACUUUAAACACAAGUUUUAAGUUUGAAAGAUGCAAUUGCAUCACUCAAAGAUGAUCCCGCGUUGUAUUAGCUAGUUGGUGAGGUAAAGGCUCACCAAGGCGAUGAUACAUAGCCGACCUGAGAGGGUGGUCGGCCACAUUGGGACUGAGACACGGCCCAAACGCCUACGGGAGGCAGCAGUAGGGAAACUUCGGCCAUGGACGAAAGUCUGACCGAGAAACGCCGAGUGAGGGAAGAAGGUUGUCGGAUCGUAAAACUCUGUUGGUAGAGAAGAAAGUUGGUGAGAGUGGAAAGCUCAUCAAGUGACGGUAACUACUCAGAAAGGGACGGCUAACUACGUG
rnacentral:rRNA from 1 species